rnacentral:rRNA from 1 species
AUUGAACGCUGGCGGCAGGCUUAGCACAUGCAAGUCGAGCGGGGUGAUGGUGCUUGCACUAUCACUUAGCGGCGGACGGGUGAGUAAUGCUUAGGAAUCUGCCUAGUAGUGGGGGACAACAUCUCGAAAGGGAUGCUAAUACCGCAUACGUCCUACGGGAGAAAGCAGGGGAUCACUUGUGACCUUGCGCUAAUAGAUGAGCCUAAGUCGGAUUAGCUAGUUGGUGGGGUAAAGGCCUGCCAAGGCGACGAUCUGUAGCGGGUCUGAGAGGAUGAUCCGCCACACUGGGACUGAGACACGGCCCAGACUCCUACGGGAGGCAGCAGUGGGGAAUAUUGGACAAUGGGGGGAACCCUGAUCCAGCCAUGCCGCGUGUGUGAAGAAGGCCUUAUGGUUGUAAAGCACUUUAAGCGAGGAGGAGGCUCUUUUGGUUAAUACCCAAGAUGAGUGGACGUUACUCGCAGAAUAAGCACCGGCUAACUCUGUGCCAGCCGCCGCGGUAA